rnacentral:lncRNA from 1 species
GUUUUGGUGAUGGUGAUAUGUUUGUAGAUCUUACUUUACUAAACAUUCUUGCUGCUUACAAUUAUCUCUAUCUAUAACAGUACUUUCUGUGGAAAAUGUUAUUGAAAAUCUUCAAAUUUUAAGAAAAUUGUUAAAAAUUGACUAUGAAGGGCAAUAACUCCUAAAGUGGUCAACUGACCAUUUUGGUCAUGUUGACUUAUUUGUAGAUCUUACUUUGCUGAACAUUAUUGCUGUUUACAGUUUAUCUCUAUCUAUAAUAAUAUUCAAG